rnacentral:SRP_RNA from 1 species
GCCAGGCGUGGUGGCACGUGCCUGUAGUCCCAGCUACUCAGGAGGCUGAGGUGGGAGGAUCGCUUGAGUCCAGGAGUUCUGGGCUGUAGUGCGCUAUGCCGAUCGGGUGUCCGCACUAAGUUCGGCAUCAAUAUGGUGACCUCCCGGGAGCGGGGGACCACCAGGUUGCCUAAGGAGAGGUGAACUGGCCCAGGUCAGAAACGGAGCAGGUCAAAACUCCUGUGCUGAUCAGUAGAGGGAUCGCACCUGUGAAUAACCACUGCACUCCAUAGCAAGACCCUGUCUCU